rnacentral:tRNA from 1 species
GGGGCUGUAGCUCUGUGGUAGAGUAUUUGCCUACCAUGUGUAAAGCCCUGGAUUUGAUCCUCAACACACAUAAAAAUAAAUAAAUAAAAUAAAGGAGAAAGCAGGAGGAUUGCAAGUUCAAAGCCAGCCUCA